GAGAUUUCUAUUUUUACUUUCUGUAG
rnacentral:piRNA from 1 species